rnacentral:lncRNA from 1 species
UUUGCCUUGAUCUCCAUAGGGUUUUGUUUUUCUCUUUCUUCUUUUCCAAGUUGAGCACUUGAUCAUCUUGUGGUCAUCACCAUAAUCACCAUGAUCAUCUCUUGCUCCAUCACUUGGCAUGUACCAACCUUAUUAAGUCUACACACACUUAGUAUAGAGGUUAGUACUAGAGUUUCAUCAAUUAUCCAAAACCAAACUAGGG